CUGUAGCAUGUUAGAGGAUCCGGCUCCCUCACCUUUGUCCCCUUUCCCCACCCACACGGCGACGCGGCUGACCUCCACCUUGCUGGCUGGCCGCCGUCUCUCUGCCCGCCAAGCUCCAGCCCCCGCCCCCGCCUUGCCUCUCCGCGUUCUCCCUGGCCACCGCGCCGUCCACGCCGACUCGCCCCGCGACGACCACCGCGCCGUCGCUCCCCCCUCAUCUUGAAGGCCGGUGUGGUGGCGCGCCACCGAGCCACCCCCACACGCCCUGCAGCUUGAAGCUAGCCGAGGGAGCUGCGCCUCCAGCCACCAGAUGGUCACCCGGUUUGCUGCUCUUCCCCCUCUGAAGAUUUUUCUGAAUGUCAACGGGGGCAAAAGCAGUCCACCGGAGCUGAACACUUAGGAUUAGUCGGGCUGGAUUUCAACAAGCCACUACUCCAAUUUUAUUAAGCCAGUACCCCAAUUUCAAGAUGAUCCAAUAUGCUGAAAAACACCAAGUGGAAAUUGCAUGGCUGUUUGACUUAGCAUGCCCGGAUGUUGCCAAGAGGCAAGGAUUGUUCAAAGCAACACCAACACAUUUUAUUCUUCAUGACAUGCACAUACAUCUUUCUCUGGAGCGCAUUGCCAACAUGCCUGAUUACCAACGCUACUGUACCACCGUUGCUUCAGUGUGUAGCCUCAUCUCUGAGUACGAUGUGAUCCACACCUAUUGUUUACUUGAUAUUAUUGGUCACAGGUCUUUGUUUGCUGCUUUCUUGGCAUUGCCGUGGGAUCCUGGACAGCAAACAAAUGCUGGUGCCAAAUACCUAGCUAGCAUUGAUAUAACUGCAGCUAUUUGUGUUCGACCUCUCAGUUGUUCAUGGACUUCAGUUGAGUUGAAAGCCUGGUCUCCAUCGUUGUUCCAGGUCAACAUUACAUGUGGCUGAUGAUUUGGAGGAUAACUGACGAUAGACCUAUCACUGCAUGUUUGGUUAUGCUACAGACCACUGAAUUUUGUUCCACAGAAGUGAGCUCAUGGAAGAUAUCUGGUUUCAAUAUCAUUAUCAGUAUCCAAGCUGACUACUGCUAUGCGUGCUCUGUUCCUGACAAUACAUAUCUGCAAUCCAUGGCCGAGUGCUCUCCUGCUGAGAUAUGCUGACUUUGGAUCCAGGUGACAGUGUAUGGAUUCCUGUUGCAUAUGUUGUUGUUACCGAUGGCGUAUGGACCGUCAUGUGCUUCUGGGUGUUCCUCGUUGUUCCACGGGCAUUUCAGUUCCUUGCUUAUGUUGCCAUAUGGAGCUCCUGCAGUGUGGAGUUUUGUCAAGGCAAGUUGUCAGGGGAUCCAGGCAUCUGGGCCCUUCUCUAUUUCUUCGGACUUUUCACUCAAGCUGAAGUAAUAGGAAGGAGGAAUGUUGUAGCUCCAACCUACUACCACGGCCACUGCCUCAACCAUGCUCUGACAACGUCUCUGUCAACUAACACUAUUACCUUGAUGCUUUCUGUGACCAAGUGAACAUCAGCGACGACUACUUUCUUGAGCAAGUCGGCGUCGUUUGCUACCUCAACCUCGCCAAGUUCUGCCUCAACUACGGCACCCACCGGCCACCACCACCUUGGCGAAGUCAUGAAGCACCAAGUACCAUGGGAUCCCUUUGGUUUCCACAUUGAGUCGGCUUGAGGGCAAGCCGAAAUUUAAGUAAGAGGGAAUGUCAGCGGCCUCACUCUCUGUAGCUGGGCGUACAGAGGGGCGCCUCUUGGGCCCGGGCCUGCCAGCAAACUACUACAUGAGAUGAGUACAAAUAGAACAGAAAGGCAUCUGAAGACGGGGACGAACGGAAGGGCUUCGGCCUCAGCUUGGCGUGGUGUCAUCUUCUCCGCUUUCCCGUUCCUGUACUGCUCGUCUUCCUCCCCUAUCCCCUCCAUGAAUUCCAUUAGUUAGCUUCCAAUUCCUCCAUCAAUGGCUUGCAACCUUUGAAUCAUAGCUGGGUUGUUAACAUUUACCCUGAUUCUUCAGUUCAGUUUAGUUGAGACACCCAAUUCCUCUGUCCCUUAUCUGAAAUCUCUUCUUCAGUUAAGUUGAGACACCAAAUUCCUCUGUCCCUCAUCUGAGAUCUCUUCUUCAGUCAGCUUGAGACAGAGUUGUUUGCUUCCCCUGUCCCGCAACGGCAGCCGCAACAUCAGGUUCAACAGUAUCAUCAGUUUCGCAUAAUUUCUUGAA